rnacentral:tRNA from 1 species
GGCCUGAUGGUCUAGGAGUAUGAUUCGUUGUUAGGGUUUCUCUACUUAUUCGACGAGGUCCCGGGUUCAAUUCCCGGUCAGGCCC